rnacentral:rRNA from 1 species
UACGUAGGGGGCAAGCGUUGUCCGGAUUUAUUGGGCGUAAAGAGCGUGUAGGCGGCCAGGUAGGUCAGCUGUGAAAACUCGAGGCUCAACCUCGAGACGCCGGUUGAAACCAUCUGGCUAGAGUCCGGAAGAGGAGAGUGGAAUUCCUGGUGUAGCGGUGAAAUGCGCAGAUAUCAGGAGGAACACCGGUGGUGUAGACGGCUCACUGGACCGGAACUGACGCUGAGGCGCGAAAAGCGUGGGGGAGCAAACGGGG